CCUACGGGAGGCAGCAGUGGGGAAUAUUGCUCAAUGGGCGAAAGCCUGACGCAGCGACGCCGCGUGAGGGAUGAAUGUCUUCGGAUCGUAAACCUCUGUCAGCAGGGAAGAACGGUCACUGUGCUAAUCAGCAGUGACUUGACGUUCCCUGCAAAGGAAGCACCGGCUAACUCCGUGCCAGCAGCCACGGUAAUACGGAGGGUGCGGACGUUAAUGGGAAUUUCUGGUCUUAAGGCGCUCGUAGGCGGUAUGUCAAGUCAAGGGUGAAAUCCCCGCUCUCAACGGGGGAACUGCCUUUGAAACUGGCAAACUGGAAUGUGUGAGAGGAUAGUGGAAUUCCAGGUGUAGGAGUGAAAUCCGUAGAUAUCUGGAGGAACAUCAGUGGCGAAGGCGACUAUCUGGCACAUAACUGACGCUGAGGAGCGAAAGCGUGGGUAGCAAACAGGAUUAGAUACCCUUGUAGUC
rnacentral:rRNA from 1 species